GACGAACGCUGGCGGCGUGCUUAACACAUGCAAGUCGAACGGAAAGGCCCGGCUUUUGCUGGGUGCUCGAUUGGCGAACGGGGGAGUAACACGUGAGUAACCUGCCCUUGACUUUGGGAUAACUUCAGGAAACUGGGGCUAAUACCGGAUAUGAGCUCCUGCUGCAUGGGGGGGGUUGGAAAGAUUCGGCGGUUGGGGAUGGACUCGCGGCUUAUCAGCUUGUUGGUGGGGUAGUGGCGUACCAAGGCUUUGACGGGUAGCCAGCCUGAGAGGGUGACCGGCCACAUUGGGCCUGCGAUACGGCCCAGACUCCUACGGGACGCAGCAGUGGGGAAUAUUGCACAAUGGGCGGAAGCCUGAUGCAGCAACGCCGCGUGCGGGAUGACGGCUUUCGGGUUGUAAACCGCUUUGGAAUGUGCCGAAGAGUGCGUGACGGUAAUGGGUCAAGAAGCCCCGGCUAACUACGUG
rnacentral:rRNA from 1 species